rnacentral:RNase_P_RNA from 2 species
AAUUUUAGGUAAUCGCGGCUAGGCAACUAGCUGAGGAAAGUCCAUGCUCGCACAGGCUGAGAUGCUUGUAGUGUUCGUGCUUAGCGAAGUCAUAAGCUAUGGGAGUAGCAAUACUUACGGCGGGAGAAAACGUCUAAGGUUAGUUUCGGCUAACUAUGACCCACUAUCCCCUAAGGUGCCACAGAAACGAUUCUGCCAGAAAUGGUCAGACUGGAACGCGGUAAACCCCUCGAGCGAGCAACCCAAACAUUGGUAGGGGCGUCUUUUCAAAGGAAUUCAACGAGUGAAAAGGACAAGCAAUUGUAGAUAGAUGAUUACCCCUCUAAGUUAAGGCCUAUCUUAACUUAGGGACAGAACAUGGCUUAUCGAA